UCGGGCCGAGCCCAGCCGAGCACAGCCGAGCGCUUGUGUUGCCCACACACAGGCAGAUCGUUUUUGUGUGUGUAUUAGUGUCCCCGUGGUUCUUGCUUUGCCUCUCCCGCUCUCCCUCGCCAAAAGCAGAGCCAGAGGCUGCACAAGCCAAGCCGAGCACAGCCGAACGCUUGUUAUUCCCACACCUAAGUAGAUCGUUUUGAUGUCUGUAUUAGUGGCCCAUUGGUUCUAGCGCUGGUCCUCUCUCCCUCCCUCUCUCGCUCUCUCUCAGCUUUGCGUGCGCGUGUGUGUGUGUGUGUUCUGAGUAACUGAUAAUAGAAAAUUUCACUUUCAGCUCGAAAUUGUCAUCGGAUGAUUUGCAUAUUCGCAGAAUUAUGUGUGACGAAAUAAACUAUAAACGAUCGUAAAGCUAAAUAGCUGUUAGCGCUAAUCUAUAUCGCACGUUCUACAUAAAUAUUUAUCGUCUAUAGUUUGUGAACAUUUAAAGCCAGCGCAUCUUAACAGAUUGUACAUUGUAACAAAUAAGUUAGUUCGCAUCGUUUAACAGUCGUUAAAUAUAACAGGCUCAGAGUCUGUAACUGUCUAACAUGUGCGUAUGUAUAAUCGAUUGUGUUAUCGAUUAUUGCUAUCAUAUCGGAAUACGGGCAGUUGGCUUUUUUGAAAAGUUUCCGCCAUUUUGACUUUAUAUAACUGACAUUUAGUUUGAAUGCAGAUUUUUAUAGCCUAUCUAUACAAUUUUAACGAAAUGUAGAACACAUUACGGCUUCAUCAACUUCAUCUGUAAGUUUUUGAAAUAUCUUUCAAAAUCUCCGCCUGUCAAAUUCAAUUUUCGCAAAACAGUAAAGUCCCAAAUCCCUCAAGAUGCGCUGCUGUAAUCGAACGUAUUCACGCAGUUCCUGUAACCGUUUGGGCUGCAGACCCGGAAACUGGUGCAAACCGCGCUCCACUUGCAGUGAUCAAAAGCGUUGUGGCAACUGCUGUGGAACGUGUAUGUGUAUCAUGUGCUGCAGCGGCAUCGGUCAGUGUGGCCAGCCGCUUAAGAGUCAGUGUGGCCAGCCGCUGAAGAGCUGCUGUAAGCCCUGAUUUUGUUCGGAUUUGGGGCUUUACUGCAUGUGAGAAAAUGUAUUUAUUCUGUUUAUUCUGAUGGGAAAAUAACAACAACAAAAACAAA